rnacentral:rRNA from 1 species
GACGAACGCUGGCGGCGUGCUUAACACAUGCCAGUCGAACGGAAAGGCCCUGCUUUUGUGGGGUGCUCGAGUGGCGAACGGGUGAGUAACACGUGAGUAACCUGCCCUUGACUUUGGGAUAACUUCAGGAAACUGGGGCUAAUACCGGAUAGGAGCUCCUGCUGCAUGGUGGGGGUUGGAAAGUUUCGGCGGUUGGGGAUGGACUCGCGGCUAAUCAGCUUGUUGGUGGGGUAGUGGCUUACCAAGGCUUUGACGGGUAGCCGGCCUGAGAGGGUGACCGGCCACAUUGGGACUGAGAUACGGCCCAGACUCCUACGGGAGGCAACAGUGGGGAAUAUUGCACAAUGGGCGGAAGCCUGAUGCAGCAACGCCGCGUGCGGGAUGACGGCCUUCGGGUUGUAAACCGCUUUCGCCUGUGACGAAGCGUGAGUGACGGUAAUGGGUAAAGAAGCACCGGCUAACUACGUG